rnacentral:rRNA from 1 species
GACGAACGCUGGCGGCGUGCUUAACACAUGCAAGUCGAACGGUAAGGCCCUUCGGGGUACACGAGUGGCGAACGGGUGAGUAACACGUGGGUGAUCUGCCCUGCACUUCGGGAUAAGCCUGGGAAACUGGGUCUAAUACCGGAUAGGACCACUGCCUGCAUGGGUGGUGGUGGAAAGCUUUUGCGGUGUGGGAUGGGCCCGCGGCCUAUCAGCUUGUUGGUGGGGUGAUGGCCUACCAAGGCGACGACGGGUAGCCGGCCUGAGAGGGUGACCGGCCACACUGGGACUGAGAUACGGCCCAGACUCCUACGGGAGGCAGCAGUGGGGAAUAUUGCACAAUGGGCGCAAGCCUGAUGCAGCGACGCCGCGUGAGGGAUGACGGCCUUCGGGUUGUAAACCUCUUUCAGCACCGACGAAGCGCAAGUGACGGUAGGUGCAGAAGAAGGACCGGCCAACUACGUGCCAGCCGCCGGUAA